AAGCUCGUAGUUGAAUUUCGGACCUGGCUGGGCGGUCGGCUUAUCGGCUUGUACUGUCUGGCUGGGCCUUACUUCUUGGUGAGCCGGUGUGCCCUUUAUUGGGUGCGCUGGUGAACCAGGACCUUUACCUUGAGAAAAUUAGAGUGCUCAAAGCAGGCCUAUGCCCGAAUACAUUAGCAUGGAAUAAUAAAAUAGGACGUGCGGUUCUAUUUUGUUGGUUUCUAGAGUCGCCGUAAUGAUUAAUAGGGAUAGUUGGG
rnacentral:rRNA from 1 species